rnacentral:rRNA from 1 species
AGAGCACAGGUGCUGCAUGGCUGUCGUCAGCUCGUGUCGUGAGAUGUUGGGUUAAGUCCCGCAACGAGCGCAACCCCCGUCUUUAGUUGCUACCAUUUAGUUGAGCACUCUAAAGAGACUGCCGGUGAUAAGCCGCGAGGAAGGUGGGGAUGACGUCAAGUCCUCAUGGCCCUUACGGGCUGGGCUACACACGUGCUACAAUGGCGGUGACAAUGGGAUGCAAAAGGGCAACCUCUAGCAAAUCUCAAAAAGCCGUCUCAGUUCGGAUUGGGCUCUGCAACUCGAGCCCAUGAAGUUGGAAUCGCUAGUAAUCGUGGAUCAGCAUGCCACGGUGAAUACGUUCCCGGGCCUUGUACACACCGCCCGUCACACCAUGGGAGUUGGUUUUACCUGAAGGCGGUGCGCUAACCCGUAAGGGAGGCAGCCGAC